CAAUAGCGUAUAUUUAAGUUGUUGCAGUUAAAAAGCUCGUAGUUGGAUUUCGGUUAAGAGCGACCGGUCCGCCGUUUGGUGUGCACUGGUUGGUUUUAACUUCCUGUGGAGGACGUGCUCUGGGUUUAACGACCUGGACUCGGAGUCUACGUGGUUACUUUGAAAAAAUUAGAGUGUUCAAAGCGGGCUUACGCUUGAAUAUUUCAGCAUGGAAUAACACUAUAGGACUCCUGUCCUAUUUCGUUGGUCUCGGGACGGGAGUAAUGAUUAAGAGGAACAGUUGGGGGCAUUCGUAUUUCAUUGUCAGAGGUGAAAUUCUUGGAUUUAUGAAAGACGAACUUCUGCGAAAGCAUUUGCCAAGGAUGUUUUCAUUAA
rnacentral:rRNA from 1 species